AUUGAACGCUGGCGGCAGGCCUAACACAUGCAAGUCGAACGAGUGGCGGACGGGUGAGUAAUGUCUGGGGAACUGCCCGAUGGAGGGGGAUAACUACUGGAAACGGUGGCUAAUACCGCAUACCAUCGGAUGUGCCCAUAUGGGAUUAGCUUGUAGGUGAGGUAAUGGCUUACCUAGGCGACGAUCCCUAGCUGGUCUGAGAGGAUGACCAGCCACACUGGAACUGAGACACGGUCCAGACUCCUACGGGAGGCAGCAGUGGGGAAUAUUGCACAAUGGGCGCAAGCCUGAUACAGCCAUGCCGCGUGUAUGAAGAAGGCCCUAGGGUUGUAAAGUACUUUCAGCGGGGAGGCGUUACCCGCAGAAGAAGCACCGGCUAACUCCGUGCCAGCAGCCGCGGUAAUUC
rnacentral:rRNA from 1 species